GGGGUCGACUGGUUUUGACAGCAGGUCUAAUUGAAAUGUAAGCAUGCCGAGCUAUGGAAUUAAUGCUCGUAAAUCUCUAUUCCAACCAUUUUAAAUGGCGAGAAUAACUACGCUCUAGCUGCGUAAUCUGAAUUAUAGUAGGAUUUAACGCCACGUUUCCGCAAGGCGGAAAGGCUGGAUGUCUCUGGAUAGCCCUUGUUGACGGCGAUCUUAAUAGAGGCACCAUAAAAGUCAACAUAGAAACCUAUCUUGCUUCGGUGCGGUUUUAAAUCUUUAAGAAGCUAAGCGUGUUGUGGGCGGUUUCCGGUCAGCCACACGUCUAAAACCAAACGGAAACUAAGCAUGUAGAAAGCCUUUUGGUUGCUUGUUUGGACGAGAGUUCGAUUCUCUCCGACUCCAC
rnacentral:tmRNA from 1 species